GUAUAAAAGUAAGAAUUAUAAUGUUAGGUGGGGUAAGUAGGUUAAAAGUAUUUUUAAAUAUAUGCCGCAGUUUGCUAGAAUAAGGUGGUGAGGGGUUAGGUUGGUUGGGUUAAUUGGGUUGUUUUUUGUGUUUAUUUUUUUAUUCUGGUCUAGGUUUUUUAAAGGUCCAGUUAAUAUUAGUAGAGGUGGGGUUGUUAGGAAGUAAGUGGUAGGGUGUUAAUAAAAAUAAAUCUUUGUUUAUAUGUUUGACACUGGCAUAGUUUUAGCUGUUUCAUAAAUAGGAGGCAUGGUAGUUGAGUUUGCGUGGUAACAGGAAGAAUAAAAUGGCACGAGGUUUAAUAUUUCCUUAAUGGAGACUUGGUUAGGUGUUAUUUGUUUAGGCAUUAUCAGUUUGAGUUGAUGUCAGUAGAAUUAGUUAAUUCCAGUCAAGAAUUCUAUACUAGGUUUAUUUGGAAGAAUGAGUUGGUUAGUGAUAAUAAAGGAGGUUAAUUGGGUGCCAGCAAUCGCGGUUAGACCUAUUUCCUUAUGUUAAAGUGGUAGUUGGCUUAAAAGGUGGUUAGCUAUAGUAUUGCAGAAGUGAGCAGUUAUAUAUUGUAUGGGUGUAAUCAGGGCAGUAAUUUAAAAUAUUUUUGGUUUGCUUGGGGGUGAAGCCACGUGAGCUGUCAUAGAAGGACCAGGAUUAGAUACCCUGUUAUUGUAGCUGUUAAGAAUAACUUAGUUUGUUUGCCAGGCGACUAUGCUUGAAAGAGUAAAAGUCUAAGUGAUUGGCGGUCUAGGAUACCCGGCCCGUGAGACUUGACGGUUAAUUCGAUGAUCCGCGUUAUAAUUUACUUGUUUUUGAGAAUCAGUUGGUGUAUGGCCGUCGCUAGGUUUACCUUGAAAGGGUAAAAAAGUAAGCUAGAAUUUAGUUAGACACGUUUGGGGUUGUUUACUGAAUAUAAGUCAGGUCUUUAUGCUGCUUAUAGACAAGGCUUAGUUGAGUCGCAUUAAUGAGAUUAAGCGGAGUUUUAGGGGAAUGACUAGGAUGAAGAAGGAAUGGGUAGUAAUGGAAAAUUAGUACGUUUUUGUGAAUGGAGAACUUCUAGGUGUACAAAUCGCCCGUCGUCCCUAAUGAAAAUUUGGGUAAGUCGUAACAUAGUAGGAAUACGGGAACGUGUGUCCUCAUUUAGUAAUGGGAAUAUUAAUUUUUAUUCCGUGGUAGAAAGAGUAGAUUUAUUUAAGUAUAAGUUGGGAAUAAUAUAAAGUAGGUUUAGUUUAAUAUAUAAGGUUGGUGAGACCAUU
rnacentral:rRNA from 1 species